GAGGAGAGGUGCCCCCUUCAGAGCAGGAGCCCGGCGGCAGAUGACUCCGUUGCCUCCCAGAGUUCUGCCUCUGAUCACAGUUAUCCACUGGACUCUGUGAGGAGCACUUAUAUCUCUAAUGUGAGGAGAGGUGCCCCCCUUCAGAGCAGGAGCCCGGCGGCAGAUGACUCCGUUGCCUCCCAGAGUUCUGCCUCUGAUCACAGUUAUCCACUGGACUCUGUGAGGAGCACUUAUAUCUCUAAUGUGAGGAGAGGUGCCCCCCUUCAGAGCAGGAGCCCGGCGGCAGAUGACUCCGUUGCCUCCCAGAGUUCUGCCUCUGAUCACAGUUAUCCACUGGACUCUGUGAGGAGCACUUAUAUCUCUGCGUUUCAGCCCUUAUACACUAUAAGAGGAAAUUGCUUCAUUUUUGCACGUCCAGUGCUAUUUAAUACUGCAU